rnacentral:rRNA from 1 species
UAGGGAAUCUUCGGCAAUGGACGAAAGUCUGACCGAGCAACGCCGCGUGAGUGAAGAAGGUUUUCGGAUCGUAAAACUCUGUUGUUAGAGAAGAACGUUGUGUAGAGUGGAAAAUUACACAAGUGACGGUAUCUAACCAGAAAGGGACGGCUAACUACGUGCCAGCAGCCGCGGUAAUACGUAGGUCCCGAGCGUUGUCCGGAUUUAUUGGGCGUAAAGCGAGCGCAGGUGGUUUAAUAAGUCUGAUGUAAAAGGCAGUGGCUCAACCAUUGUGUGCAUUGGAAACUGUUAGACUUGAGUGCAGUAGAGGAGAGUGGAAUUCCAUGUGUAGCGGUGAAAUGCGUAGAUAUAUGGAGGAACACCGGUGGCGAAAGCGGCUCUCUGGACUGUAACUGACACUGAGGCUCGAAAGCGUGGGUAGCAAACAGGAUUAGAUACCCUGGUAGUCCACGCCGUAAACGAUGAGUGCUAGUUGUUUGGGGCUAUCCAGCCCUAAGUGACGCAG